rnacentral:rRNA from 1 species
GCUACUGUGCCAGCUGGUGAAUGGCUCGGCUCGAGAGCCGACGACGGACGUGCCAAGCUGCGAAAAGCUCGUGGGACCCGCAUGGAGGGAAAGAACACGAGAUCUCCCAAUCGGAAUCCGUUCAACAAUUGCCACGCGCAAUAGGGAACGCCCUGAAUUGAAACAUCUCAGUAAGGGCAGGAAAAGAACGCAACAGCGAUGUCGUCAGUAACCGCGAGUAAACGCGACACAGCCCAAACCGAAGGUCUUCGGACCAAUGUGGUGUUCGGGUUGACAAUCAAAACGCGACACUCUCUCAGAAGUCUCCUGGAACGGAGCGUGAAACAGGGUGACAACCCCGUAUGAGAGAACAGUACCGUUGGCGUCAAAUCCAGAGUAGCAGGGGUCGGAUAUCCUCUGUGAACAUCUCAGGCAUCCCCUGAGAAGGCUAAACACUCCUCGAGACCGAUAGCGAACAAGUAGCGUGAGCGAACGCUGAAAAGCACCCCGAGAAGGGCGGUGCAAUAGGGCCUGAAAUCAGCUGGCGAUCGAGCGACAGGGCGUACAAGGCGAUUCUCAAAACGACCGAGGAGCGAUCCUCCAGUAGGAAGAGAAUCGAGCCGGCGUCGUGUCGUGCGUUUUGAAAAACGACCCAGGGAGUGCACUUGAUUGGCGAGUCUAACCCGUGAACCGGGGAAGGCGCAGGGAAACCGAUACGGCCGCAGCAUUGCGAGGGCCACCGUGUUCAAGCGCGGGGAGUCAAUUGGGUGCGACCCGAAACCAGGCGAUCUACGCGCGAGCAAGGUGAAGCGUGGCGAAAGCCACGUGGAGGCCUGUUAGAGUUGGUGUUCUACAAUACCCUCUCGUGACUCGUGUGUAGGGGUGAAAGGCCCAUCGAGCCUGGCAACAGCUGGUUCCAACCGAAACAUGUCGAAGCAUGACCUCAUCAGAGGUAGCCCGCGGGGUAGAGCUACCGAUUGGAUGACCCGCCUCCGAGAGGAGUCGGCCAUCCUGUCGAACUCCAAACCCGCAGGCGCCGUAGACGAUGGGAGUCCGGUGCGCGGGGUAAGCCUGUGUACCGUGAGGGGAACAACCCAGAGCCGGGUUAAGGUCCCAAAGUGUAGAUUAAGUGCGAUUCGAAGGUGGUCUCAAGCCCUAAACAGCCGGGAGGUGAGCUUAGAAGCAGCUACCCGCUAAGAAAAGCGUAACAGCUUACCGGCCGAGGUUUGAGGCGCCCAAAAUGAUCGGGGCUCAAAUCUACCACCGAGACCUGGCCGUGCCCUUGACAGGGGCAACCGCGUAGGUUGGCGUACUGGUCGGACGGAAGCCCGGGCGAGAGCUCGUGUGGACCGUCCAGUAACGACAAUCCUGGUCACAGUAGCAGCGAUAGUCGGGUGAGAACCUCGACGGCCUGAAGAGCAAGGGUUCCUCGGCACUGCCGUUCAGCCGAGGGUUAGCCGGUCCUAAGGUGUACCACAACCUGACUACACCGACGGGAAGCUGGUUAAUAUUCCAGCGCCAUCGUGCAGUAAACGCCGACGCCGUGUGGAACGCUGAGCCGGGCAUUCGCCCGGUCGAAUCGUGGAACCUCGUGGACGCCGUCACGGCACGAAGCGAGAGAAGCGCGAAACAGCGAAAGUCAGCCGUACACAGGGCCCGUGAAAAGGCAAGCACGAUGUCCGUACCGAGAUCCGACACAGGUGCUCUGCCAGCGCAAGGCAAGGCCUGUCGGGAGAACCGACGUUAGGGAAUUCGGCAAGUUAGUCCCGUACCUUCGGAAGAAGGGAUGCCUGCUCUCUGAGGAGCAGGUCGCAGUGACUCGGGCGCUCCGACUGUCUAGUAACAACACAGGUGACCGCAAAUCCGCAAGGACUCGUACGGUCACUGAAUCCUGCCCAGUGCGGGUAUCUGAACACCUCGUACAAGAGGACGAAGGACCCGUCAACGGCGGGGGUAACUAUGACCCUCUUAAGGUAGCGUAGUACCUUGCCGCUUCAGUAGCGGCUUGCAUGAAUGGAUAAACGAGAGCGCCACUGUCCCAACGUUGGACCCGGUGAACUGUACGUUCCAGUGCGGAGUCUGGAGACCCCCAAGGGGAAGCGAAGACCCUAUAGAGCUUUACUGCAGGCUGUCGCUGAGACGUGGUCGCCGAUGUGCAGCAUAGGUAGGAGACGCUACACAGGUACGUGCGCUAGCACGCCACCGAGUCAACACUGAAAUACUACCCGUCGGUGACUGCGACUCUCACUCCGGGAGGAGUACACCGGUAGCCGGGCAGUUUGACUGGGGCGGUACGCGCUCGAAAAGAUAUCGAGCGCGCCCGAAGAUCAUCUCAGCCGGGUCAGGAAUCCGGCGAAGAGCGCAAGAGCAAAAGAUGGUCUGACAGUGUUCUUCCCAACGAGGAACGCUGACGCGAAAGCGUGGUCUAGCGAACCUACGAGGUUCCGGAAUGGGACCCGUAGAUGACAGAAAAGCUACCUUAGGGAUAACAGAGUCGUCACUCGCAAGAGCACAUAUCGACCGAGUGGCUUGCUACCUCGAUGUCGGUUCCCUCCAUCCUGCCCGUGCAGACGCGGGCAAGGGUGAGGUUGUUCGCCUAUUAAAGGAGGUCGUGAGCUGGGUUUAGACCGUCGUGAGACAGGUCGGCUGCUAUCUAUUGGGGGUGUGAGGUACCUGACGUGAACGAACGUAUAGUACGAGAGGAACUACGUUUGGUCGCCACUGGUGUAUCGGUUGUCCGGAAGGGCAGAUGCCGAGUAGCCACGCGACACGGGGUAAGAGCUGAACGCAUCUAAGCUCGAAACCCACAUGGAAAAGAGGUACCGUUGAGGUCACUCGUAGAAGACGAGUUCGAUAGACUCGGGGUGUACGCACCGAGGCAACG